rnacentral:lncRNA from 1 species
AUUUGUGAUGUGAUGAAGUUUGAUGGCGCCAAAGUAAUCGACUAAGAUGUGGAGGGAGAGGACGUUUUUGAGAGUGGAGAUGGAGAGGUGUUUGUCAAGAAGAGAUUGCAUUCCGGCAUUGUUGAUGGCGAGGACGGUGAUGGUACGGCGGCGGUUGAUCUCAUCGGCGAGGUGAGUGACGGAGAGGUAGUGGUUGUAGGUGGAGAAGUCAGGGUGGUUGGCUAGAAUAUGAGUGAUAUUGUGAGCUUCAGUAGUUGAAGAAGAAUUCAGAAUAAUCAUGAGAGAGAAGAAAAGUAGAGUGGAAAAUGUGAGAAGGUUCAUUUUAAUUUGGAAUAGUAGUAGCAAAUAGGUAAUAGGUGUAGUAAGGGAUAUGAUAAUGGAAUGAGGGUAUGUAGGGAUAUUGAUUUAGAAGGGAUAAGAAGGUAGAGGAGAGUGGUAAUGUAUGUAUGUUUUAUAAGGAAUAGAGAAUGGAGAAUAGGUAGAGAUGAGAAUGUGUUUGUUUCAUUGUUUGUGUAAUUUGUGAUUGAUUGCUGAGAGGACAAAUAAUGCCAGGUUGGUUAUAGGUAGUGCAUGGACCCCAUGCAUGCAUAGAUUGAUUGGCUUAUUGUAAUGAGGGAGAUCAUUAUAAGAAUAUAUCUAUGCUAUUAUUAUUAUUAUUAUUAUUAUUAUAAAAGAGAGAAUAUGGUGUAUGUCACAUUCACUAUUCUUGAGGAGAAGAAAAUUUCCAAACUGCAUGAGCAUCUCACCGACACUUGUAGACCCCACCCCACUUCUUUGAAAAAGGGAUCUUCUUCAUAUAUAGGUAAGUGCUUGUUGCUUUUAAUGUUUUGAAUCAUAAAAAUGUAAGUUAUAUGAUAAAAUUGUCACACUUCCUUUUCCAAUAAUACAAUCAGGGAUGCAUAUAUAUAUACAGAAAGUAUAAGAGAAAGGGGUCGAACAUAAAAUAAAAGAUGUUCAUCUUACACUACUACUUUUCUGGACAAGUUUUUUAACAACUUAUAAUUGUUAAUGAAAAGUACCUGCAGUGCCAUCAGCGGCUCCGGUUGCCUGGAAAACUGAGGAGACCAAGGUGGUUCCAUUUGUGAUGUGAUGAAGUUUGAUGGCGCCAAAGUAAUCGACUAAGAUGUGGAGGGAGAGGACGUUUUUGAGAGUGGAGAUGGAGAGGUGUUUGUCAAGAAGAGAUUGCAUUCCGGCAUUGUUGAUGGCGAGGACGGUGAUGGUACGGCGGCGGUUGAUCUCAUCGGCGAGGUGAGUGACGGAGAGGUAGUGGUUGUAGGUGGAGAAGUCAGGGUGGUUGGCUAGAAUAUGAGUGAUAUUGUGAGCUUCAGUAGUUGAAGAAGAAUUCAGAAUAAUCAUGAGAGAGAA